GUAUGAAGAAGGCCUUCAAGAUGAAACAAGUAUGGAGAUUCAACAGCCUACAGAAUCACUAAAAACGUCGAAGAGGAAAUGAACAUCUAUGAGGUCACCUAGAACAAACCUAAAUGAGAGUCUGGAAUGGUUGACAAGACUAUUUUGAAGAUCCAUGCAUGUAUUGGCGCUGCACUCAUGAGAUGCCUCCUGUUUUUGAAACACAUUUCCUACAUCAAGAGAGAACAACUUCAAGCGGGAUCCUACGUGGAUGUUCUUGGUGCCACAUGGAAAGAAGUUUGGACCUUGCAACCAUUUCAUUUAAAAUAUAUUUUUUGUAACAUUUCCUUGAUUUAAAAUACCUCUUAUUUUAAAUAUCUAAAACGUCUCAGAAAAUCUUAGAGUAAGUUUUAGUUUUAGAGCCAGAAAAUAAG